UAGAUAGAUUAUUGUAUUCGACUUUAUUCACGAUAUGUAUUUGUGAAUACAGUAACAUAAAUUGCGCAAUUCAUGGUCUAUUCAGUUGUUUUAAACGGAAGUGAAUCAAUUAACAUAAUAGACUCCU
rnacentral:pre_miRNA from 1 species